CUUUAUCAGAGAGUUAAAGACUGAAUAAAAGCAGAUAUUAGACGCACUCAUAGAAUCUAAAGAUUGUGUUGGUAUUCUUCCCACAGGAUAUGGCAAAUCUCUGCCAUAUCAACUCCUUUUGCCGUUGAAGAAGGCAUUGAAAAUGGACUCUUGUCAGAAAGUAAUCGUGUGUUGUCCACUUGUGGCAUUAAUGCAAGACCAAGUAAGGCGUUUAAACGAAAUCCAAGGGAUAACUGCUGUAUUCAAAUGUCACAGUGUGGAAACAGAUGACAACAUAUCUCUUGGGAAGUUUGAUUACUUGUUUGGAUCUCCAUAGAACUUAGUAGGAAACAGAGAGUUCAGAGAUGAAAUUCAAAAGUUUAAUGUCUCGACAAUUGUGAUAGAUGAAUUCCACACCAUUGCAUCAUGGGGCCUAGAUGAUAAAAAGAGAGAAGCUUUCCGAAAGUGGUUUGGGAAGAUUGGAGAAUUGAGGUCCUUAUUCCCACAAGCAUCAAUUCUAGCUUUAAGUGCCACUUGUACCAAAAAAAUUUCUCGUAGAGUGUAUAAGAUUUUAGAUUUAAGUGAAGAUACUAUCGAGAUUAAAAUUUCGCCAAAUAAACCAAAUAUUAAAUUAGUUGUUCAUAAGAUACCUAACAGUUUAGAAAUGGCAGUGUUUUGGAUUAUAGAUGCCUUGACUGAAGAAAAACUUCCAAAAAGUCUUUUGUUCUGUAAAUCUAUUCAAGAUGCAUCUAGUAUGUAUGCCCAUAUUGUUACAGAAAUUCCAGAUUGUAGGGUUGUUGAAUUGUUUCACUCAGAGACUCCAAGGGAAAGUAAAGAUAAAAUUAUUGAGGAGUUAAAAAAUCCAAAUAGUGAUAUUAAACUUGUUAUAGCAACAACUUCUUUAGGAAUGGGAAUUGAUUGUGUUAAUUUUAACAAUGUCAUUAUUUUUGUCCACAUGUCAGUGUUGUAGACUUGAUACAAGAAAUUGGUAGAAUUGGGCGUGAUGGCAAAAAAUCUAUUGCCCCAAUUUUUUCAAUUCCUAUUGCUGAAGUAAAAAAAAUUUUGAAAACCACUGAAUGUAGACGAACUGCAAUGUUGAUGCCAUUUUUAGAUGAUAAGGAACUGGUUGAACUAGAAACAGUGACUACUGACUGGUGUGAUUUAUGUUAUAAUCAAUGUACCGAUAAAAAUUGUACAGUUUUUGGAGUGGAAAAGCUCUUUGUUAGUCCAGCUGAUAUUGAUAAUGAUUGUUCAACAAGUUGUAGUGACCUUAGUGAGCAAGAUACCUUGUCAGAUGAUUCAGACUGGGAGCUUAAGGUUGAUCUUGGACCAGGUGAAAAGAGUUCAA